rnacentral:rRNA from 1 species
UUUAAUUCGAUGAUACGCGAGGAACCUUACCUAGGCUAGAAUGCGCGUGACCGGCUCAGAGAUGAGCCUUUCCUUCGGGACACAAAGCAAGGUGCUGCAUGGCCGUCGUCAGCUCGUGCCGUAAGGUGUUGGGUUAAGUCCCGCAACGAGCGCAACCCCUAUGGUUAGUUGCCAGCACGUAAUGGUGGGAACUCUAGCCAGACUGCCUGCGCAAGCAGUGAGGAAGGCGGGGACGACGUCAGGUCAUCAUGGCCCUUACGCCUAGGGCGACACACGUGCUACAAUGGACGGUACAGCGGGUAGCUACCAGGCGACUGGAUGCCAAUCUCGAAAAGCCGUUCUCAGUUCGGAUUGGAGUCUGCAACUCGACUCCAUGAAGCUGGAAUCACUAGUAAUCGCGCAUCAGCCAUGGCG